rnacentral:rRNA from 1 species
AGAUUGAACGCUAGCGGGAUGCUUUACACAUGCAAGUCGAACGGCAGCGCGGACUUCGGUCUGGCGGCGAGUGGCGAACGGGUGAGUAAUAUAUCGGAACGUGCCCAGUAGCGGGGGAUAACUACGCGAAAGCGUGGCUAAUACCGCAUACGCCCUACGGGGGAAAGGGGGGGAUCGCAAGACCUCUCACUAUUGGAGCGGCCGAUAUCAGAUUAGCUAGUUGGUGAGGUAAAGGCUCACCAAGGCGACGAUCUGUAGCUGGUUUGAGAGGACGACCAGCCACACUGGGACUGAGACACGGCCCAGACUCCUACGGGAGCAGCAGUGGGGAAUUUGGACAAUGGGGGAAACCCUGAUCCAGCCAUCCCGCGUGUGCGAUGAAGGCCUUCGGGUUGUAAGCACUUUUGGUCAGGGAAGAAACGGCGUGCCGUAAUACGGGACGCCGACUGACGGUACCUGACAGAAUAAGACACCGGACUAACUACGU